AGCAUUGAACGGCUAAGCAUCUGAGCACGCACCUCAAUUAAAGGACUCCCAUCCACCCGAUGCUCACUGCACCGCUGCAGACGAUUUUCACACGAAUGAAAAGCCUCCCCAAAACUGAAGUACUAAACUGUGAAGGGCAUGUUCGUCACACGCAAACUUUUGGAACCAACCCAACUUCUGGCUUCGUGAGAGCUAUAUAAAUUGACAGAAACACAGAGCUCUUUCAUCUCACCUUGAUUUCCUUCACUCCCUCGUGUCUGCCCAUACGUGGCUUCUCUUAGAUUCCCUUCUCUUCUUCUGAGCUGCAUUUUCGUGUUCGCUUCUGCCAUAGCUUCUCGUCAUGCCCCCGCCGCCCCUAAAGUCUCUCUGGUUCUUUACUACGAGACCCUCUGCCCUGCCUGUUCCAGAUUCAUCGUUAAUGAUCUGGCGAAUAUCUUCCAUAAUGGACUCAUUAAAAUCGUCGAUCUCCAGCUCGCUACUUACGGAAACGUCAGCAAUGGCACCAUCACCUGUCAGCAUGGCGCGGAAGAGUACUUUCUGAAUACAGUGGAAGCCUGUGCCAUUGAUGUCUGGCCUAAUCUGGUAAAAAACUGUUUUUAUUUUCUGAAUUUCUGAUCUUACUGAUAAACUAGAAUCAUACAAACAUGUAAUUAAAUCACCUAGAAAGAUGAAAUAUUUAAUUUUUCUUCUUCCUAGUUCCUACUACUUCUGUUUACCAAGGAUACAUAUUUUCUAAAUGAAACUUUUUUUAUUUUCUGAA